CUUUGUUGCCAUUUAUGAAUGAAGUAACAAGAGUUUGGAAAGAACAAGCAACUGACUCAAGGAAUAAUAUUUAUGGUCCUGAGAGGUAACCUGACCCUCACAAGUGCUCCUUGGAGGCCCUGUUGGAAUUGAGAGAACCAAAAUAAAGAACUAGGGAAGAGAAGGC